rnacentral:tRNA from 1 species
AUUUAAGUAAUUUAAAUAAAAUUUUGAUUUGUGAUAUCAAGAAUGUAAUAUUAUUACCUUAAAUU